AUUCUGGGGCUCGCAGAGGCCAGAAGAGGGAAUGAAUCCUCGGGAACUGGAGUUGCAGAUGGUUUCGAGCCACUACUCGGGUGCUGGGAAUCAAACCUGGGCGCUCUGCCAGAGCACUGCUGAGUCAUCGCUCAAGCCUCCCCCUCGUCCUUCCUUUGACAGUUUCUCGUCGGUCCGUUGGCCCACGUACUGAUGAGCAGUUUCUGCAUCUUCUCGUCUUCCACUAACGCUCAUGCGGCCGGAGGAACUUGGCGCUGCCCUCCUCCCCUCUCCUGCAGCUACCGGGCGGUUCAUCUACCCAGGACCUCCACGGAGCCAGGAUUUUCUCUACACCCGGCAUCCACCGCUCCCGCACCAAUAAAGCUUUAUCGACAGAGCGGAAGCUAGGUGUCGCUCUCUCACCUCCUUCGGUCGGGAAACGGAAGCAGGCCAUAGCCGGCCGGAACCCGCCUCUCGAGAGCGGAAGUGCGGCCGGAAACUGGCCAUAGAAGCGCGUGGCUAGAGCGACCCUGCGGGGAGGUGGCAGGAAAGGCUGGGAGCCGCUGCCGGAGGUGACGGAGCGGCCG
rnacentral:lncRNA from 1 species